AGAGUUUGAUCCUGGCUCAGGAUGAACGCUGGCGGCGUGCCUAAUACAUGCAAGUCGAACGCACAGCGAAAGGUGCUUGCACCUUUCAAGUGAGUGGCGAACGGGUGAGUAACACGUGGACAACCUGCCUCAAGGCUGGGGAUAACAUUUGGAAACAGAUGCUAAUACCGAAUAAAACUCAGUGUCGCAUGACACAAAGUUAAAAGGCGCUUUGGCGUCACCUAGAGAUGGAUCCGCGGUGCAUUAGUUAGUUGGUGGGGUAAAGGCCUACCAAGACAAUGAUGCAUAGCCGAGUUGAGAGACUGAUCGGCCACAUUGGGACUGAGACACGGCCCAAACUCCUACGGGAGGCUGCAGUAGGGAAUCUUCCACAAUGGGCGAAAGCCUGAUGGAGCAACGCCGCGUGUGUGAUGAAGGCUUUCGGGUCGUAAAGCACUGUUGUAUGGGAAGAACAGCUAGAAUAGGGAAUGAUUUUAGUUUGACGGUACCAUACCAGAAAGGGACGGCUAAAUACGUGCCAGCAGCCGCGGUAAUACGUAUGUCCCGAGCGUUAUCCGGAUUUAUUGGGCGUAAAGCGAGCGCAAACGGUUGAAUAAGUCUGAUGUGAAAGCCCGGAG
rnacentral:rRNA from 1 species